rnacentral:rRNA from 1 species
AGGGCGCACGGUGGAUGCCUUGGCACUAGAAGCCGAUGAAGGACGUGACUAACGACGAAAUGCUUUGGGGAGCUGUAAGUGAGCAAUGAUCCAGAGAUGUCCGAAUGGGGGAACCCGGCAGGUAAUGCCUGUCACUCAUUACUGUUAAGGUAAUGUAGAGGAAGACGCAGUGAACUGAAACAUCUAAGUAGCUGCAGGAAGAGAAAGCAAAAGCGAUUGCCUUAGUAGCGGCGAGCGAAACGGCAAGAGGGCAAACCGAAGAGUUUACUCUUCGGGGUUGUAGGACUGCAACGUGGACUUAAAGAUUAUAGAAGAACUACCUGGGAAGGUAGGCCAAAGAGAGUAAUAGCCUCGUAUUCGAAAUAGUCUUUAUACCUAGCAGUAUCCUGAGUACGGCGAGACACGAGAAAUCUCGUCGGAAUCUGGGAGGACCAUCUCCCAACCCUAAAUACUCUCUAGUGACCGAUAGUGAACCAGUACCGUGAGGGAAAGGUGAAAAGCACCCCGGGAGGGGAGUGAAAUAGAACCUGAAACCGUGUGCCUACAACAAGUUCGAGCCCGUUAAUGGGUGAGAGCGUGCCUUUUGUAGAAUGAACCGGCGAGUUACGAUAUGAUGCGAGGUUAAGUUGAAGAGACGGAGCCGUAGGGAAACCGAGUCUUAAUAGGGCGCAUUAGUAUCAUGUCGUAGACCCGAAACCAUGUGACCUACCCAUGAGCAGGUUGAAGGUGAGGUAAAACUCACUGGAGGACCGAACCAGGGCACGUUGAAAAGUGCUUGGAUGACUUGUGGGUAGCGGAGAAAUUCCAAACGAACUUGGAGAUAGCUGGUUCUCUCCGAAAUAGCUUUAGGGCUAGCGUCGAUGUUAAGUCUCUUGGAGGUAGAGCACUGUUUGGGUGAGGGGUCCAUCCCGGAUUACCAAUCUCAGAUAAACUCCGAAUGCCAAUGAGAUAUAAUCGGCAGUCAGACUGCGAGUGCUAAGAUCCGUAGUCGAAAGGGAAACAGCCCAGACCACCAGCUAAGGUCCCAAAAUAUAUGUUAAGUGGAAAAGGAUGUGGGGUUGCACAGACAACUAGGAUGUUAGCUUAGAAGCAGCUAUUCAUUCAAAGAGUGCGUAAUAGCUCACUAGUCGAGUGACCCUGCGCCGAAAAUGUACCGGGGCUAAAACAUAUUACCGAAGCUGUGGAUACCUUUAUAGGUAUGGUAGGAGAGCGUUCUAUGUGCGAAGAAGGUGUACCGUGAGGAGUGCUGGAGCGCAUAGAAGUGAGAAUGCCGGUAUGAGUAGCGAAAGACAGGUGAGAAUCCUGUCCACCGUAAGACUAAGGUUUCCAGGGGAAGGCUCGUCCGCCCUGGGUUAGUCGGGACCUAAGGAGAGACCGAAAGGUGUAUCCGAUGGACAACAGGUUGAUAUUCCUGUACUAGAGUAUAUAGUGAUGGAGGGACGCAGUAGGCUAACUAAACCAGACGAUUGGAAGUGUCUGGCCAAGCAGUGAGGUGUGAUAUGAGUCAAAUGCUUAUAUCUUUAACAUUGAGCUGUGAUGGGGAGCGAAGUUUAGUAGCGAAGUUAGUGAUGUCACACUGCCGAGAAAAGCUUCUAGCGUUAAUUAUACUCUACCCGUACCGCAAACCGACACAGGUAGUCGAGGCGAGUAGCCUCAGGUGAGCGAGAGAACUCUCGUUAAGGAACUCGGCAAAAUGGCCCCGUAACUUCGGGAGAAGGGGCGCUGACUGAUGGUCAGCCGCAGUGAAUAGGCCCAAGCAACUGUUUAUCAAAAACACAGCUCUCUGCUAAAUCGUAAGAUGAUGUAUAGGGGGUGACGCCUGCCCGGUGCUGGAAGGUUAAGAGGAGUGCUUAGCGUAAGCGAAGGUAUGAAUUGAAGCCCCAGUAAACGGCGGCCGUAACUAUAACGGUCCUAAGGUAGCGAAAUUCCUUGUCGGGUAAGUUCCGACCCGCACGAAAGGCGUAAUGAUUUGGGCACUGUCUCAACGAGAGACUCGGUGAAAUUUUAGUACCUGUGAAGAUGCAGGUUACCCGCGACAGGACGGAAAGACCCCAUGGAGCUUUACUGCAGUUUGAUAUUGAGUAUCUGUACCACAUGUACAGGAUAGGUAGGAGCCUAUGACCUCGGGACGCCAGUUUCGAGUGAGGCGUUGUUGGGAUACUACCCUUGUGUUAUGGCUACUCUAACCCAGAUAGGUUAUCCCUAUCGGAGACAGUGUCUGACGGGCAGUUUGACUGGGGCGGUCGCCUCCUAAAAGGUAACGGAGGCGCCCAAAGGUUCCCUCAGAAUGGUUGGAAAUCAUUCGCAGAGUGUAAAGGUAUAAGGGAGCUUGACUGCGAGAGCUACAACUCGAGCAGGGACGAAAGUCGGGCUUAGUGAUCCGGUGGUUCCGCAUGGAAGGGCCAUCGCUCAACGGAUAAAAGCUACCCUGGGGAUAACAGGCUGAUCUCCCCCAAGAGUCCACAUCGACGGGGAGGUUUGGCACCUCGAUGUCGGCUCGUCGCAUCCUGGGGCUGUAGUCGGUCCCAAGGGUUGGGCUGUUCGCCCAUUAAAGCGGCACGCGAGCUGGGUUCAGAACGUCGUGAGACAGUUCGGUCCCUAUCCGUCGCGGGCGUAGGAAAUUUGAGAGGAUCUGCUCCUAGUACGAGAGGACCAGAGUGGACUUACCGCUGGUGUACCAGUUGUUCUGCCAAGAGCAUCGCUGGGUAGCUAUGUAGGGAAGGGAUAAACGCUGAAAGCAUCUAAGUGUGAAGCCCACCUCAAGAUGAGAUUUCCCAUGAUUUU